CCCCUUUAAGGGUCGUACCUGGAAAGUUUCCAGUACUCUACCAGCUUCAGUUAGGGGAGGGAGUGUCAAGCAGAGGCCUACCCAUUCCAAUCCUAGCUUGGGCAGUGGCUAGCGAGUGGAAGGCGAUCUGCUACAAGU
rfam:Ornithorhynchus anatinus chromosome 2, whole genome shotgun sequence.